rnacentral:scRNA from 1 species
ACAUUGAAGGCCGGGACAUCGAACAUUAUUGA